rnacentral:rRNA from 1 species
GGGGAAUAUUGGACAAUGGGCGCAAGCCUGAUCCAGCCACGCCGCGUGAGUGAUGAAGGCCUUCGGGUCGUAAAGCUCUGUGGGGAGAGACGAACCGCUGGGGUAACCCUUCAGCAUGACGGUAUCUCCUUAGCAAGCACCGGCUAACUUCGUGCCAGCAGCCGCGGUAAUACGAAGGGUGCAAACGUUGCUCGGAAUUAUUGGGCGUAAAGCGCACGUAGGCGGUUUUUCAAGUCGGAUGUGAAAUCCUUAGGCUCAACCAAAGAAGUGCAUUCGAAACUGAGAGACUUGAGUAUGGAAGGGGGUCGUGGAAUUCCCGGUGUAGAGGUGAAAUUCGUAGAGAUCGGGAGGAACACCAGUGGCGAAGGCGACGACCUGGGCCAAUACUGACGCUGAGGUGCGAAAGCGUGGGGAGCAAAC